UGUGGCAUUCGUUAGCCAAUGGUGUCCUU
rnacentral:piRNA from 1 species